UCUCUGUGAUGAUACAAUGAAGGCUUGUUUCUCAAACAUUCGCAGUGGCCGCCGCGAAAACUUCAGUUUUCGCCUCGCCGGGCUUGAGAAUUGAUGCGGUUCUAUCCUUCCUUGGAUGUCUGAGACG
rnacentral:snoRNA from 1 species